UUGAUAGUCCCUUACUCUUGGAUACCGUAGUAAUUCUAGAGCUANUACAUGCGUCAAUGCCCUUUUGGGGUAGUAUUUAUUAGAUAGAAGCCAACCCCUUCGGGGUGAUGUGGUGAUUCAUGAUAAGCAUGCGGAUUGCACGGNUUUGUCCGGCAAUGGAUCAUUCAAGUUUCUUUC
rnacentral:rRNA from 1 species